ACUCUCCACUCCGAGGCUCAGGGAGCAAGUGCCUGGCAUGGGGGGUAAAAGUUGGCUUUUUUUUUACUCCUUGGUCUUUUGCGCCCUUCUCCCUCUCCCCAGAAGGGAAGACCCAUUUAAACUAUUUUAGACGCAAUCAACCAAGAAUCACCAUGUGGAAUUGAGCGGCAGUUUUAAAUGUGUUGAGCAGGGGAGAGGAAUGAUGAGAAAAACAUUUUUUUUUUUUUUUUUGGAGACGCCGAAAGAAGCCUGUUUGUGUGCUGCGGCCGUGCUGUGACUUUGGAUCUUGUCUUUCAGCCGGCGCCUCGGUUCCUGCCCAGCUGGAUUUGGGGGGCAGCAUUGCCUGGCGCAGGGAGAUCAAGUGAGUAUCGUGGCGGCCCUCAGGCUGCAGCUCGCCCGCGGCGCGAGGCCAGCAGUGCCCGCCGCGGCCCCGCGCCCGCACUCCUCACCUCGCCCGCUAGCCGGUGCCCGCAGAGUCCCGCUGCGGGCCGCUCCGAGGGCCAGUCCGGGGCUUUGCUUCAGCUAAUUGAUUGUGUGCCUCGGAUGUUAAACCUGUUGAUCUCGUGAGUUUUCUUAGCCAGUACUGUUAAUUAUCCAGCGGCUUGACCCCCAAUCGCAGAGAGAUGCCAGGAAAUCUUCGCGUUGGAAAAGGGAAUUUUUAUGAGACUGCAAAGAAGCAUAAAAUGAAUAGACAAUCCAACCAACCAAAGACCGGGGGCAGCAGCAGGCCAGCAAGACGGCAUCUUCUCCUUCCCAGCCUAGAAGCCCUGUGAAAUCGAGGAUCUUCCCCCUAAAACACAUACACACAAGAUAUGUGCAAUCAAGCUGCCACCGCUUGGUAAAAAGCCAUGGUGCCUAACCAAAAAGGAUCAGGAACAGAUCCUUGAAUCAGCUGUCACUUCUAUAGAAUGGGAUUUUUUUUUCCUUCCUCCUUAACCUGCGCUGGAAAUUGCCGUUGGCUUUAUACAUCUCUAUAGAGAGAGGCUAAAGAGUCUUGCGUGAGAAAGAAGCAAUUUACAAUGCAAAUAGAGGCCUGUGAAGGGACGGAUGCUGCUGCUCACUCGUAACAGCUUGCUGCACCUUAAUAGCUGGUUUUAUUUUCUGAUAUUAAUAGAUGAAUUGUUGGCUAACGCUGCCGGAGAUUACUUGCUGAAAGGAAAAAGAAAAGUUCGGAAUAAACUCUGAAGGCAACAGAUCUCGUUUGGAUGUUUUAGCCGCGCACACACACAAACAGAAACCAGGUCAUAUUUACAUAAAAGGAGGAAUCUUAAGCGCGGCAAGUAUCCUGGACGACCACUCUUCGGUACUGCCAGAAAGGAUCAGGACCUGGAGUCUGGCAAGAGGAAGA
rnacentral:lncRNA from 1 species